CCGCAUACGCCCUUCGGGGGAAAGAUUUAUCGGAGAAGGAUCGGCCCGCGUUAGAUUAGAUAGUUGGUGGGGUAAUGGCCUACCAAGUCUACGAUCUAUAGCUGGUUUUAGAGGAUGAUCAGCAACACUGGGACUGAGACACGGCCCAGACUCCUACGGGAGGCAGCAGUGGGGAAUCUUAGACAAUGGGCGCAAGCCUGAUCUAGCCAUGCCGCGUGUGUGAUGAAGGUCUUAGNAUCGUAAAGCACUUUCGCCAGGGAUGAUAAUGACAGUACCU
rnacentral:rRNA from 1 species